GCGGAAGCAGAGGUUCUCCCAGAGCGAGUCGUUCCGCGCAAUGGUGCACCAGAAUCUACAGACGCAGGCGGCCACACUUAGGGAUCGACCAUCUAGACGUUUCAGGAUCUCGAUUAGGAUGUCAAUGUGGUCGUUCAGGCCCACUACUAAAGUUUGGGUUUGACAUCCCAGUCAUGCAAAUCAAGGUGUCUUCCAAUUCCCGUAAUUUCUUUCUAAUUUAAUCAGCCUACGUGAGCCCGGGCGAGCAAAAUUGGAAGCCAACUUGGGCCUCGCGCUGCAACGUACGAGCCCGGCCCAAAUAUAGUCCAGUCUGGCUCAACUGGGUCAGUAGCCCAAACCCAACCCAACCCGUUUACAGUGAAUCUCAGCCAAUGGUGGUGGGGGAUGUCGGACUUGUCAUCAGCUGCACAGCCGUCGCUUGUUGUUCAGCAAAUUCUUCAACAAGGUUUGCACUUACCAAGUUAUCAAUUUCCUUUCCUUUGUCUGCUAUUGAUUCCGUCUACAUGCUCAGUUUCACUCGCUAAACUCGAAUGAACUUGAUGAUUAUAACAAUCACCAUGUUUUGUGAAUCAGCUGAAGAAGAGUGAAGAGGCGGCUACUCCCCUAGCCCAGCCCAUGGGAAAGCCUUUUUUUUCUAGUCUACGUGCAUUGUUUGCUCCAAUGAUGCCUAUACGGGAUAAUGUUAUAUCAUAUAGAUUGGAGAUUUGGAGAUGUCAAUCGAUGAGCCAGAAUUUCUUUGAAUAAAGGCUAGGCCCCCUGCUAUGGCCAUAUAUAUUGGAUAAUCGGCAAGACCCACUUUCAUACUAGGGCAUUUUCUUUCAUAUUUAGCUCGUCUCGCUGUGUCCAGGUGAGUAAGGACGGGAACUCUAUUUAUCUUGGUAAUUGCUAUGAACAACUUUUCAAUUCGUCGGUUUUCAACCUCGCCUAGUUCUUGCGUACCAACAAACUCCAACUCUGUAAAAUCCUCAACUCUUGGGAUUCUGGGGGGAAGGAUUCGGGAUGUAAUUCCAGUUCCCCACAGAACGAUUCCUGAACCCAGAGGGCAAGACCUCGACUUUGUCAAUGUUGCACACAGCCACCUGAUUCACUCUGAUUGGGAGAAGCUCAAUGCUCUAUCAACCCAUCUCACUCCCUUUAGAGUCAAGCACAUGCUGUUAAAGGUCCAAAAGGACUAUGUUCUUUCGCUUGAAUUUUUCAAUUGGAUCAAAACCCAAAACCCUUGUUCCCUUACACUCGAUACAUAUUCAAUGAUUAUGCACAUUCUAACUAAGUAUCGGAAAUUCAAGUCUGCGGAAUCUAUCUUGAGGAGCAUUUAUGUACCGGGUUCCAUAGAUUUUCCUUCUAAGUUGUUUGAAGCAACACUGUAUUCUUACCGCUUGUGUGAUUCUUCUCCUCGUGUUUUCGAUAUGUUGUUUAAGUGCUAUGCACAUAUGAAAAAGUUUAGAAAUGCCACUGAUACUUUUUGUCAAAUGAAAAAUUACGGGUUUUUGCCUACUGUGGAGUCCUGUAAUGCAUACUUGAGCUCAUUGCUUGAUUCUGAUAGGUCGGAUAUUGCUUUGGCAUUCUACAGAGAGAUGAAACGCCAUAGAAUAUCACCAAAUGUGUUUAGUUUUAAUAUGGUCAUGUCUGCUUAUGGCAAACUGGGAAAGCUAGAAAAGGGAAUUGAAGUGUUCAGGGGGAUGGAGAAGAUGGGUGUUGGGCAUAAUGUUGCCUCUUAUAAUACCUUGAUUGCAGGAUAUUGUAAUAAGGGUCUAUUGGAAUUGGCUUUGAAACUUAAAAACUCGAUGGGUAAGAAUGAGGUGCAUCCUAAUGUGGUUACUUUUAAUGCUCUUAUUUGUGGAUUUUGCAAGGAAGGGAAACUACAUGAAGCAAAUAAACUUUUUAGUGAAAUGAAAGCCGUCAAUGUGUCUCCUAACACUGUCACUUACAAUACUUUGAUCAAUGGAUACAGUCAGAUGGGAAAUAGUGAGGUGGGUGGCAGUCUUUAUGAGGAGAUGGCGAGGAAUGAAGUUAAGGCUGAUGUCUUGACAUAUAAUGCCUUGAUUUUGGGUCUUUGCAAGGAGGGUAAGACCAAGAAAGCUGCAUAUUUGGUUAAAGAACUUGAUAAGAACUUUGUCCCAAAUGCCUCCACUUUUUCUGCCCUUAUAACAGGACAAUGUGUGAGGAGGAACUCAGAUCGUGCUUUCCAGUUGUAUAAAAUCAUGGUAAGGAGUGGUUGUCAUCCAAAUGAACAUACCUUCAGGAUGCUGAUUUCUACAUUCUGCAAGAAUGAAGAUUUUGAUGGAGCACUUCUAGUUCUUGAGGAAAUGAUAGAGAGAGCUAUUCCUCCUGAUUUGAGCAUCUUAUCUGAGAUUUAUGACAGACUUUGUCUCUGUGGAAAAGAUGAAUUGGCUAUGAAGUUAUGCAGCAAGAUGGAAGCUAGAUGCCUCAUGCCCGAAGGAUUUGACAAGAUGAGAACAUCAGCUCAGGAUCAGAUAAAUGAAAACAAAGUGAUAGAGAAACUGUGAGGCUCUUCCUACAUUUCGUACUACUCAUUCUUUCGGGCUUUAGGCAAUGCUGGCUGGCAUACGAUGGCACUUUUAUGAACUCCUCCAUAAGUAUUCAGGAAGGAAAUGAAAACAUGAAACUUUGAAAGCAUUUUCCGGACAGGAUUCCCUGAAGACAAGUGUACAGCCCAAAUAUUGUUCUGAUAGUGAUCAUCUCUCAUGAUUUGAGCUUUCGUUGCGUAGCUUCUUUAGAUGCGUGCUGGCUGGGUAUUCUUGUGGAAAAAGCAAAACCAACUCAUUUAAUUUUUAUCUCAUUACAUAACAAAAAAUGGAAAGUAAUAGGAAGAGCAAUACCGACUAAUUACAGGUUUUUCAGUAUAUUAAUUUGUUUAUUCAUUAAUAUAUAGUAUGUUUAGUGUCAACGUGUGUAUGUGUAUUGUGUAUACUGUAUAUAUA